rnacentral:lncRNA from 1 species
GCCUAUUUUUUUAUUAUUAUUAUUAUUCUUUUUUAAUGGAUAGAGAUUUUAUUUGUUUCUAAGCCUGGGCUGCAUUUCUACAGGGGACCUAUCCCAUGCCUCUGAGGAUGUCUGUGAGCCAGAGGCGACCUCCCCGGGGCUGGCGAGGAACCCGGCACCAGGACGAGGGGAAGUGGGCGGCCCUUCCCACAUUCCAGUUGGCAUAGGGUUCCUGUUCUGCAUCGAGGGGCUGGAUGGGUGAGAGCAACCGAAGCCUGGGCUAGCGCAGGAGAUAGACAAGAGCUCCGCCCUCCAUCCAUUUCUCUGAACGUUCUAGGUCUUGAUUUUCACCACUCGCGGGGUAAUAUUUCCACCCAAAAUCUAGCAACGAUCCCGUCCAUGAAAACAGCUGAAAAUCUCCCCUUUGAAAGAACACGUCCAGGAGGCUUUCCAUCCCUUAACUAAGCUUGUGCCCGCUUUGCCUACCCCCCCUGGCGAUGUGGGGCAGGGCGCAUCCGCCGGCGACCACUUGGCCUGAUUUCCCGGCCCCCGGGAGGACUUCUGAACCAGGAUUUGUGACGUGCCGCUAGGAGAAGGGGCACAUGAUGGGGAGGGGAACUCUCCGAGCACAUUCCCCAAACUGCAAAUCUGCCCAGGGACGGCUGGGCGCCUGGGUUGAGGAGAAGGGCCCGCAGUCUUAUUGGUCUCUGCAGACAGAAGCGAGGGGGAAGAACUCAUCACGAGUUACAAGGGCGGAAAACAGCCGCCCCAGGUCUCCCCACAGCUCCCCGGACGCCCCGCGCUAGGCCUCGGGCCCCAACGCCUGGGAAUGGUCGGCGGUGCUUGGGCCCCGCCCGGGGGCGAGGGGCAGCGGCCCGGCCCCAGGCCUCAUCUCCGCACCGGGAGCUCGGGCUCACACUGUAGAAUGAAGUGCCCUGUAGAAUAUUCGAUCCCCACGGCCAGCUAGGGACCCCGCCACAGUGGAGCGCCUCGCCACCUCCAUCCGCCCUCCUGUGGUCCGGGACUAGGUGCAGUUACAGGACCCGCCUAAGAAGAGCACUAGAAGGACGCAGUGGGUGGAUGUCCGAGUUCGAGCGGCUGGAUGUCGCGCGGUGGCAACAAGUAGCUCGGAAAAGGGGUAUUGAGAGUCCACUGCGAGCUGCUUCCUGCUUGCGGCCAAUGGGGACGUGCGGCAGAGCAGUUAGAAACAAGAAGGGAGAAGACUAAAGAGAGACUCCUUACUUCUGGCAACGAGAUACACAAAAGGGGUUGCGAACAUCCAAAAGGGUCUUGCUCCAGGUAGCAAGUAUGAAUUCCUCCAUGACAUCUGGGCUACAAGAAAUGCCAAGCUUGGCCACUGCUCACAGUACCCGGGACUCAUAAGAAUCCAUGCAUGCCUUCUCCCAUCUAAGACAUGCGGGAUCCAUGCCAGGAAGAAUGAGGCACAUGCCAGAGGAUAUGGGGGCUGGGAGGAGGGCACUAACCCAGAGUGAUUUGAAAUGAGGUAGCAUUCAAUGGCCCCUGGCAAAAAAGAGAAAGAAGACGAGGGAGCUGAAAAAUGUCUUCAUGGAGAAAGGAGGGAGGGAAGACAGGGAGGGAGGGGUGGUCCAACUGGCCCUGGAGCAGGGGAAAAUGGAAAUGUAGCAGAUAUAUAAGCUAAACUGAAAUCUCAGCACAGAGCUGGCCUAUGAAUUUCUCCCAGAGGGACCUUCUGCCUGUGGGGUAAAAGGGAGCAUAAACUUCCAGUUCUGUUUGCAGAGAGCCCUGAGGAACUGACACUGACCACAGCCAGAUGAGAGGCCUUCUCCUCAGCUGCCAAAUUCUGCUCUGCACUGCCCAACAGUGUCUUAGCUAGGGUAGCUGGCUCCAUCCCAGGGCCAACAGCCAAUUUCGAUUACAUUAAGGAGGCAGUGUAUUGGGGGACCAACAAGUUUUAUUGUUUGAUACCCUGAUCUUAGAACCUAACCCUCCCAGAGGUGCAAAUCACAACCAUAAACAAAUGUAUCGUAAUAGAGAAUUAAGCUUAUAAAGAUACAUCAGUCAGGGGACAGAAACUAUACCAAUUAUUUAACAGAGACAAUGUAAUACAGAGAACUGUUAACUAGGUUUAUGGUUAUUAACUAGAUAACUGAAAAGUCAAAAAAACAAAUCUGCAGUAUCACUUAAGUUAGUAACUGCAAGAAGCAGCUACCCACUCGGGCUGAGAGAACAAAGGAAGAAGUUGAACCACUAAAGCUUAGAAGUUGGAGGAAGAGCCCUCUGCAUAAUUGAAACUCAGACUUCUGAGGAAAGGCUCCAGCAUCUGCACUGGCAUCUCUGCUGUGGUCACUUUAAAGCUGGUUCUGCAGGUAUUGGGAAAACCACAGGGUGGGUUUGGAAACUGCUAAGGGAGCCAGGGCUUAGUGGCUCACGCCUGUAAUCCCAACACUUUGAGAAGCCAAGGUGGGAAGAUCGCUUGAGCCAAGGACUUUGAGAGCAGCUUGGGCAGCAUAUCGAGGACCUAUCUCUACAAAAAAUUUAAAAAUGAAUCCAGUGUGGUGAUGCGCACCUGUAGUCCCAGCUGCUUGGGAGGCUGAGGCAGGAGGAUCACUUGAGCUCAGGAGUUCAGGGUUGCAGUGAGCUGUCAUCACACCACUGCACUCCAGCCUGGAGCAACAGAGUGAGACAGCUCCAGAGUGAGACCCCCGUCCCUACCACUACUACUGCUAAUAAUAAUAAUAGUGCCAAGCUUGUGAAACCGGGUCCAAAUGGAAAGUGAUAAGUACUCAACUAUCUCCCUCAGUGGGUGUGAAUAAGGACACUUCCAGCCUCAUCCCUUGGCCACUCAAGGAACCAGCCUCGGGAUGAAGCUAAUGCUAUGGGUAGCAGAUGGGAGGGAUGGAAAGAACCAGGGUCCAUGAUGGCGAUGCUGAGUCACGGGCUCACUCUCCUCUGGGUAUCCAGUUGUGUAAGCCUUCUGUCUUUCUGUUGAUUACAGCAUUGUUUAACUAAGGCCUCUGCUACUUUGCAGCCACAAGCAUCUUGAUAGAUUAGGAAAGCAAAAAAGAGGAUAAAAAAGAAACCAGGAAAAGGGAUGUGUGGUAGAUGAAAUAAUCCUUCUUGGUUCUUUUCAAAAAUCUCCUGUCCUGAUCCCCGGAAUCUGAGUAUGUCACCUUACAAAACAAAAGGGGAUGUUGCAGAUGUGAUUAAGUAGUUCGAUGAAGAGAUUAUCCUGGAUUAUCUGGGUAGGCCCAAUGUAAUCACAAGGAUUAGUUACAGAGGAAAUGUGACAACAAAAAAAGAGAAUGAAAUGAUGUGUUUUAAUGAAGAAGGAAGGCACCCUGUGAGCCAAGGAAUGCAGGUGGCUUCUAGAAGGUGGAAAAGGCAAGAGAACAGAUUUUCUUCUAGAGUUCUCAGAAAUAAUGCAGCUCUGACAAUACCUUGAUUUAGCCUAUAAGACCCAUUCAGACUUCUGACCUUCAAAACUAUAAGACAAUACAUUUGUGUUGUUUUAAGGCACUAAGUUUGUGAUUUUUUUCAAUUUAUUUUAUUUUAUUUUUUCGUAAAGACAGCAUCUGGCUAUAUAGCCCAGGCUGGUCUCAAAUUCCAGGCCUCAAGCCAUCCUUCCUCCCUGGCCUCCCGAAGUGCUGGGAUUAUAGGUUUGAGCCACCAUGCUGGGCCUGUGGUAAUUUAUUAUAGCAGCUAUAGGAAACUCACACAACAUGGUAGUUACAAAACCAAAAGAAGAUGCUACGAAUAAGUACAAAUGUAGCAAUAAUUAAAUAGAUAUGAAAGAGUUGAAUCCAAUGACUACUAAACACGUAACUAACAGAUUGGAUUUUUUUUAAACUCCAGGUAGGUGCCCUUCAUGAAAGAUAUAUCUAAAACAAAAUGAUGCAGGGAAACCAUAUACCUGUUGUCUCAGUUAUCUACUGCAGUAUAACAAACCACCCUCAAAACUUAAUGACUUAGUGCCGGGCACGUGGCUCAUGCCUAUAAUCCCAGCACUUUGGGAGGCCGAGGCGGGUGGAUCUCUUGAGGUCAGGCGUUCGAGACCAGCCUGGCCAACAUGGUGACAUCCUGUCUCUACUAAAAAUACAAAGUUAGCCGGGCAUGGUGUCACGCGCCUGUAAUCCCAGUUACUUGGGAGGCUGAGGCAGUAGAAUCAUUUGAACCCGGGAGGUGGUGGUUGCAGUGAGCCAAGAUUGUGCCACUGCACUUCAGCCUGGGCGACAGAGUGAGACUGUCUCAAAAAACAAAACCAAACCAAACCUUAAUGACUUAGGAAGGUGGCUUUAGUGGCCGCAUGAAGCACACCCUGAUUGCCGAGGAACAAGAGUGCAAAGCUAAGAAACUGAGGCAUUUUGAAGAGUUUGAAGACACUUGGCUUCCUUAUCUGACCCCCAAAGAUGAAUUCUAUCAGCCGUGGCAGCUGAAAUAUCCUAAAUUAAUUCUCCAAGAAGCCAGCAGUGUAUCUGGGGAGCUCCAUAAAGAGGCUCAAGAGGCCGGGCGCAGUGGCUCACGCCUGUAAUCCCAGCACUUUGGGAGGCCGAGGCAGGAGGAUCACGAGGUCAGGAGAUCGAGACCAUCCUGGCUAACACGGUGAAACCACAUCUCUACUAAAAAUAUUUUUAAAAAUUAGCCGGGCGUAGUGGUGGAUGCCUGUAGUCCCAGCUACUCGGGAGGCUGAGGCAGGAGAAUGGCGUGAACCUGGGAGGCAGAGCUUGCAGUGAGCUAAGAUCGAGCCACUGCACUCUAGCCUGGGAGACAAAGUGAGACUCCGUCUCAAAAAAAAAAAAAAAAAAAAAAA